UAAUGUUAGUAUAUUAAUUUGAUUACGUUUUUUAUAUCCACCUGAACCAAACACCGACAAUGGGAAUGAUUUAUUCCGAUUCCGAUUCAGAUAAUGAACCAAACAGAAUUAGGUAAUGAGUCAUUCCGAUUCCAAAUCCAGCUUAUUUUUAUUCCGAUUCCGAUUCCGACUCUGACUUCGAACCAAACACGCCCAAAGAGUAACUCUCUUAAUCUCUCUCUCUCUCUCUCUCUCUCUCUCUCUCUCUCUCUCACAAAUCCUAAUUGCUCUUCUCUCUCAAUCUAUCUCCCCGGCCUCCGCCUCUACUCCUUUGGCUCGUCGCCUCGCCAGACUACCGAGUCCCGACCGCCGGUAGUGCUCGCCUCGUCUGAUAACUCCGGUUCAACUGCAGUGGCCCAAAAUAGCAAAAUCUAAUUAGACUCAUAAUCUCUCUCUCCUUUGGAUUGCUUCAUACUUUAUUUUAAUAAGAGUAUUUUAGCAAUCUAAUUUUCUUUGCAUAAUUGCAUUUAGUAUUGAGUUAUUAAUUGUUUAAUGUUUGCUUCUUGAUUAUUAAUGAUUGAGUUAUGAGUUGUCCAUAUAUUAUUGAAUCAUAAUCAAUAAUUAUGAUAAUAAUGAUAAUUUAUUCAUGUUUAAAUUCUAAUUUUAAAAUUUUUUAAAAAUUUUUGGGGCCUUCAAUGGCAAUCUAUUAGAUUUUAGACUUUUAGGCACCAUUUGGUUGGCGGUAUAAACGGGGAUAACGAAAGUUAUCCCCGCUAUUCCGCCAAACGAAAUAAUUUUUUACCGAAAUAUUUUAUCCCGCUCAAACCUUACUAUUCCCGGCUAUUCCGGAAUAGCAAGGGAUUUACUAUUCCACCAUUUUGAUGAAAUAGUGCUAUUCCAAUAUUUAAUUUCAAACUUUAUUAAAAUCAUAAAUUAAAUUAAAACUAAAUUAUAUAAAUAUAAUAUGUCAUAUAUUAUAAUAUAUUAUUUUUAUUAUAAAAUUAUUAAUUGUACUAUAUUAAUACAUAUUAUUUAUAUUU
rnacentral:lncRNA from 1 species